GAACGUGUCCGUUGCACAGCAGAGUCCAAAGCAAAUUGAAUUUCUCUCUCUCUCGAUGAUAAUUUCCUUGAGCUCCAAUCCUUAUAAUACGAAGACCCCAACUCCAGGAAGAAAAUGCAAAUACUCGGGCCAAUCAGUGAGAGCACUUCCUUUACGUCUAUUAACAGUUGGGAGAAGAAGAUCCAGUGGAGUUCAGCUUUUGGUUGAAGAGUACAAAGAGAAACUCAAGUACUAUUGCAGUGUUGACGAUAUCCAAAUUCGAUCCAAUCCAAAAAAGUCUUGUGAUGUGAAGGCUCAGGUUGAACGGGAAGACAUGGCUGUCAUGCAGCACAUAAAGUCCGAAGAUUGGGUUGUGAUGUUGGAUGAGCAUGGUUCAAACAUAGGAUCCACGCAGAUGGCAGAAUUGGUGGGAGAUGCAGGGAAUACACUAUAUUUGUUGUUAAACCUAAGGCAACCAUAUUUUUUUCACCACUUCUUUUCAAGGUUCAUCAAGGUUAUUGUUUUGCAUUGGUGGACCUUAUGGUCAUGGGCCACAAUUGCGUGAUCGUGCAAAUGUAACAAUCAGGUUGUCUUCUUUGGUUUUAAAUCAUCAAAUUGCAUUGAUAGUGCUACUGGAACAACUUUACAGGGCAUGGACCAUUCUUAAAGGACAGAACUACCAUCACUAGAAGUGUCACUUUAUUCUUCCAGGCAAGACAUGCAAAGUGGUAUUUUAGAGUAUACUUUUCAUGUAUUUUCUUGUAAAUUGAUUUGAAUCGUUGAACAUUGAAUUCUUCUUUCACAAUACUUUUAUCUCUUGUCAAAAUGAAUUUUGUUUU